rnacentral:lncRNA from 1 species
UACAGUGGAGUCUUGAACAAGAGAUAAAGAAAGAGGAGUAUAUCUCACCAUUAACCUACAAAUUGAAGUACAGAUUUUCAAAAUUAAGGGUUUGAUUUGAUGACACGUUUCUUUAAUUCAUACAAUUAAAAUUGGUCACCUAAUGAGACGAUCUAAAGCCACAGUUGGAGCUGAAACCUCUGCAGAAAAGUUAUAAAGAGUUUGCUUUUAAAAGUGCUUUUUCUGAUUUUAUGAUGUUAACGUGGCAAUGUUUGGAGCUCAAUGGCAACAUGUUGUAAAUUUUGUUAAAUUUAGGAGGACAUAAUGGUAAAAAGCUAAUGAAAUAGCCUUCAGGCAAUAUCAUUUAAAGGGAUGAGGUUAAUUAACUGUCGGGUCGGAUUAGAAAAAGAUCCAUAUGAUGAAUGGGUAUUAGCAGGAAUUUAGAAUAUAUUGAAGAAUACUAGCAAUCUUGCCCGUGCUUCGCACACGGGUAAUGAUUAUUUUUUUAAUUUUUAAUCAAUUAUUUGUAAUCUUUGUUAAAUUGUAACACGUGGACAACAAUUAUUAUUCUUUGAACCAUAUUUUAUUAUUCAGCUUAGAUGUUUGACACUAGUUCUGAGCAUCAGUCUUCUAAUUUGAUUCCAAGAAAAAAACAAAUUUCAUGCACAUACGGGAUAUCACACAGAGGACAACUGGUUUUAUGCUUGAGCAAAAUACGGAAACCUGAACAAAACAUAAGUCUAUUCAACUGCCUACACAUUUCAAGAUAAGAACCCAGACUAAUAUACGUACAGUUCCUCGGAUAAUCUUCAAUCACGCAAAUCAAAUAAUCCACACUGGUUACAUUGCUUCCCACAGAACCUGCAGACUUAAUCACUCUAUGAACCAAUGCAUUGAAGUCUCUUUAAUUUAUUAACAGCAACACAGAGGAUCAUCUUAUUUUCAAGCAUGUGCAACACUGUUGUUUAAACUGAUAAGUAGCCAAAAACAAAAUACUUCAUCCAAACACAAAGGCAUGAAUCAAGAUUAGGGAUGCAAACAAAAUACUUCAUCCUGCGUGGGUAAUGUUAGAAUCAAGAUCCACUGGUUCUACAGUCUCCUUAACUUGCACUUUCUUUUCAUUAUCAGUCACCACCGUAUUACUUUCUUCAUCCAUAUUAGCACAUACAUGCAAUAUACAUUAUCAGUCUCCUUAAAGUUAUAAUCGAUGCACAUACAUGCAAUAUACACAGAGAUCAAUUCAUCAGAAUGAGAAAGUUGAAUGCUUCUAUCCAAGAUUUCUGAUGUUGUUUCUGAAUGAUAAAAUGAAUGAUGCUGAUAGGAACAUGUACGUCGAUUCUCCUGUUGUUCCUAUUCAGAGAACUUGUGCUAAGAUCCAGACCAGGCUGGUAAACAAGAAAAAGCAUGACAAUGUGCCACUGGUGGUGACUCCUUUCAUGCUAGAGCAAUUCAGUGUUCCAUUCCAACCUAUUCAAGUUCCUGAACCUCUACAACAGCAACAAUAUCAAGCUCAACAACAGGCUCAUCCAGACAUUCAACCAGAACAACCGCAACAACAAUCACCUCCACAAAACCCUCAACCACUACAACUUCUGCAAGACUAUCAAUCAUCCAGCCAAUCCUCACAUUACUCUCCCUACAACCCUCCUUACAAUUCACCACAUCAAUCACCUCACCAAUCAUAACACCAAUCCCCUCCACAUUACAACUUCUUCCCAGACCAACAAGCCUCCAUUCUUCCCUCUCAAUCUGAACCAACACCUUCACCUACACAUACACAUACCAUUCCUCAACCACAAUCUACCUCUCAGCCACUGCCUGCUGAUUCUGCUAUCAAUCCAGGCCUACAGGACUUCAGGGCUGAUUUACAGGUAGCUCAGGUACUUUCUAAUCUCACUGAUACCUUUAAUAUUGAUAUUGCAGAUUUUGAUUGUGAUAUUGGAUUUGAUUUCCAGACUCCCAGCAUUGAACCUGAAAACACCCAGGUUCAUAUCCAAGCUGACGUUUCCAUUUCAACAACUGAUUCUUCAUCAAACACUUCAAACAACACUACUUCAACCCCUGUUGUUAGAAAGGUAGCCCGGAAACGGAGUGGGAGUGCAAUUUUGAGAGAUCCCGCAGCUCUGUCUCAUAAGAAGCAAAGGGUGGCAGAACCAGAGACAACUGCAGCUGCAUCCAUUUCCACCCAAAAAGAUUUGGACACUGAAAUGGUAAAUAUACAGUCUCUAGAUUCAUUCUCUCCACAGAAUGCAUUUAUUGAAAUUGGCCAUCCGACCGCGGUAUCCUGUAAAGAGUCAAGCACACAACUAGCACUCACGCUAGUAAACACUGAACCUUUGUCUUCUGAUUCUUCACUUAGAGAGAGCACAGAAUUUCAAAACAUGUCAUAUGAAAAAUUUUCUGAUCACUCUUUCUUUUUGGAUCAGGAUCUACUUGGCAACCUGCAAGUACAUCAGCCUUCACAGGCAUCUGAAGGACAGUNNNNNNNNNNNNNNNNNNNNNNNNNNNNNNNNNNNNNNNNNNNNNNNNNNNNNNNNNNNNNNNNNNNNNNNNNNNNNNNNNNNNNNNNNNNNNNNNNNNNNNNNNNNNNNNNNNNNNNNNNNNNNNNNNNNNNNNNNNNNNNNNNNNNNNNNNNNNNNNNNNNNNNNNNNNNNNNNNNNNNNNNNNNNNNNNNNNNNNNNNNNNNNNNNNNNNNNNNNNNNNNNNNNNNNNNNNNNNNNNNNNNNNNNNNNNNNNNNNNNNNNNNNNUAUUUCUGAAUGAUAAGAUGAAUGAAGCUGAUAGGAACAUGUACGUCGAUUCUCCUGUUGUUCCUAUUCAGAGAACUUGUGCUAAGAUCCAGACCAGGCUGGUAAACAAGAAAAAGCAUGACAAUGUGCCACUGGUGGUGACUCCUUUCAUGCUAGAGCAAUUCAGUGUUCCAUUCCAACCUAUUCAAGUUCCUGAACCUCUACAACAGCAACAAUAUCAAGCUCAACAACAGGCUCAUCCAGACAUUCAACCAGAACAACCGCAACAACAAUCACCUCCACAAAACCCUCAACCACUACAACUUCUGCAAGACUAUCAAUCAUCCAGCCAAUCCUCACAUUACUCUCCCUACAACCCUCCUUACAAUUCACCACAUCAAUCACCUCACCAAUCUCAACACCAAUCCCCUCCACAUUACAACUUCUUCCCAGACCAACAAGCCUCCAUCCUUCCCUCUCAAUCUGAACCAACACCUUCACCUACACAUACACAUACCAUUCCUCAACCACAAUCAACCUCUCAGCCACUGCCUGCUGAUUCUGCUAUCAAUCCAGGCCUACAGGACUUCAGGGCUGAUUUACAGGUAGCUCAGGUACUUUCUAAUCUCACUGAUACCUUUAAUAUUGAUAUUGCAGAUUUUGAUUGUGAUAUUGGAUUUGAUUUCCAGACUCCCAGCAUUGAACCUGUAAACACCCAGGUUCAUAUCCAAGCUGACGUUUCCAUUUCAACAACUGAUUCUUCAUCAAACACUUCAAACAACACUACUUCAACCCCUGUUGUUAGAAAGGUAGCCCGGAAACGGAGUGGGAGUGCAAUUUUGAGAGAUCCCGCAGCUCUGUCUCAUAAGAAGCAAAGGGUGGCAGAACCAGAGACAACUGCAGCUGCAUCCAUUUCCUCCCAAAAGGAUUUGGACACUGAAACGGUAAAUAUACAGUCUCUAGAUUCAUUCUCUCCACAGAAUGCAUUUAUUGAAAUUGGCCGUCCGACCGCGGUAUCCUGUAAAGAGUCAAGCACACAACUAGCACUCACGCUAGUAAACACUGAACCUGUGUCUUUUGAUUCUUCACUUAGAGAGAGCACAGAAUUUCAAAACAUGUUAUAUGAAAAUCUUUCUGAUCACUCUUUCUUUUUGGAUCAGGAUCUACUUGGCAACCUGCAAGUACAUCCGCCUUCACAGGCAUUCGGAGGACAAUUUGUUUCUUCACCUCCUACAGUUCCAUCUCAGGGAACUAUGGUUGUAUAUACAGGUACUGGUGACGGUGUGACAAACACGAGUGAAAUCAGGCAAACACCGAGCGAAACACAUGCACGAGAGGAUAGUGAAAAAUCUUUGAGUGUUCGUGAGGUGAGUGCACACACCAACACAGAUCUGUUACAGGAACAAAUGGCUGCUCUGAAAGCUGAGAUAGAAAGGUUGAAUGCUGAGAAUGCCAGAUUCAGAAGUGGAGAGCUGGUGACUCUGCAAGAGAAAGUUGUUGAUCCCUCCUUUACUUCUCUGAAAAAGGAAUUGGAUGAUCAUGUAAAGCGCAUUCAUUCUAGGAUGGACAAAUUUGAUAAGACUCAGGAGCUCUGUCUGACAAAGCUUGACAACUUGGAGCAAACUCUGGCUCAAGUUGUUCAACACUUAAAGAUUAAUCCGUCGACAUCUCAGUCUACUCCAGAGGAUCCCUCAACUAAGGGGGAGAAGGAUAAGGAUGAUAAGGAUGACAAAGAUGAUCACAGCAAUGCUGAUGCUGCUGAUAGGAGUAAUAAGGAUGGAGAUACUGAUAGGAGUGAUAAGGCUGAUAGGAGUGAUAAGGGUGGAGAUGGAGCAAGUGAAAAGGAUUCUUCUGCAGCUGACAAGUCUAAAGGCAAAAUGCCUGAAUCUGAGAACAUCUUCACUAAUCAGGAUUAUGACAACAUUCCUGAAGAUGUUGAUGAUGAUGAUGCAUUUGAUUCUGCUAAUCUAUAUCACAUUCUAAUUGUAAAUACAAAGCAUAUUCCAAUAAAAACCUAAAUUAAUAUCAAUUAAGAUAAGCUAUAUCAUGUUUUAAUUGAAAGACUGUUAUAUAGUUUUUCAUGCCCUGUCUGAAAGGCAUAUGUUCAGCCUAUUUGUAUUUAAAGAGGUACAACUCAACUCAGAUAAGAAAGCUCAGUAAAUAGCAAGUCAUCGGAAUCCGUACGAAGAACGUCAAAUGAUUUAUGGGAAUUAUAUGUCAGAUAAAUUCCAGGAUGCUGCUGCACACCACUGAAAGAAGUUCAUUAAUAUGUUCAAGCCUCAGUGCACAAAUAAUCUUUUGUGGCACGUCCAGUGUGACAGCCCUCAAAUCCGGGGGUCUGGAUUUGUUGCCACUAAAACAAAAAUCAUUUAAAAACCUGUAUUUGUGGAAAAAAGUAAAAUAGAUAUUUGAAAAUCUGAACACUUUAAGAGAUUUUUAAAUCAAAAUCACUUUGACCCCCUAAAAACAGGAUCGCUAAUAGGUUAGAGCAUUGAAAUCAGAACCAAAACUUACAAUCUUAUUACAACUUAAACUACAUUAUCAGUUAAACUCGAUAAGAAGAGUAACUGAUAACCAAAUAAAUAAAUAUAUUUACAACUAAACUGAAAUGAAACAAUUCUAACCAGAACUACUCUUGUAAACAUCUCCCUGGCAAUCUCGCCUAGCAUCAAUCUUACGCGCAGCUUACACAAGUGAUCAUCUUAAUCCCUAGCUGAAAGGGUUAGAAAAAAAUAGCAAGGGUGAGCGAAAAUGCUCAGCAAAGUAAUAUGAAAGGCAAGAGCCACAAGAUAUGAUUUCUUUUUAAUUAAAUUAGAGUAUUUGAAAUAAAGCAAACUUUUGAAGUAAAUCAUAACAGUUGUGUAACUCAAAAUUUUAUCAAACAUAUAAAUCCAUAUGCUUGUAAAUUCACAGAAUAUAUUUGACAGUAAACAAAAGCUAUCACAAGCUUAAACAAUAAUGACCAGGUUUUAAACAACGGCGUACUAUCACAGCUGAUCAGACCAUGUGAUAAUACCGGGCAUGUUUCGUGGAAACAUGCCUCAAAAUAGGUACCAAUACAAGGCAACACAUUUGCCUUUGUCAGAAAAGUAUUAUAAACUUUCAAUAAUACCCAAAUAGCCCUCCGCUGGACCGCCGUCUCGGUCUCUUACGCAAAAACAAAGAAAUCUUCCGAUUUCUUCCAGAAGAAGAUGACUAAUCAUCUAUUUUGAAAACAAUAUUUUGCUGGUCUAUCUGGCUGGAGUAUUAAAUAGCCCCUUAUGCCAUAAAAUCAUCUUUCAAAACCUUUCUGAAAACUCUUUGUUUUCAAAUUCAAAAUACUGUCAAAAAUCAAAUUUUAUCAAAGUCUGAGUACAAUUUAAAAAUCCACCGUAAUACGGCUCAAAGGAAAAACAAAGCUAUUUAGUUAUUUAAAAUCCAGGGUUUAUGUCUGGGACAGAAGACCAGGCAUAUAUUGUAAUGUCGAAAUAUGACUGCUAUAGAGUCAUCAAUAGUUUUCAAACUGUAAAAGAACUCAGACAAUAAUUUCCAGAAAACUGAUUAAAAUAAUCUGAAAACUUUUCAAAUAAAGUUGUCACUAUUCAUAUACUAAAGACAUUCGAUAUUUUCAAUCACAGGAUAACACAUGAAAGCAUUUGCACUUUUAAAUAUCAGAAAUCGAUAAUCAUGCUUGCAGGAAGUACAAGUCAUAAAUAUAAAACUUGUAUUAUCAAAAGAGAAUUGAAAUAAUCGCUCUUUAAAUAAAAGAGAAGAAUAGGAAUACUUGCCUUUGACACAAAACAGGUGACACACAGUCACACUACUCAAAUCCUAGGAUGGCCUCAAUUGCUAACUUUGCAAUCACUACACUCUAUUGGCCUAUCUCACGGCACAAUAUCGCCUUAUCAAACUAUUUCCGACUUGGCUUGCAACAAUUCGCUUGCUUCUGAAAGUCGUUGAAUGCACGCGUCUCGAUAGACUAUAUAUAAAACAAUAUAAUAUUCAGUCGAAGAACAAUCCCGAGUGUCGGCUAAUUCGCAGAAUCGAAAUUAUAUUAAUACCCUUCGCAAUAUAAACAUAUACAAAUAAUAUAAACACAUAAUAGCGGAAAGUUAAAUAAGUAAUCACAUAACACGUAAUUUACAUGCUUUAAUAUUCAUAAAAAUAUAAUCUAAUAACUCCUGUAUAUAAUCUCAUACUUGAUUAUAUACAAACGCUAAUAGCCUCAAUAAUACAUCCCUGGAUAAAAUCAAAAUCCGAAUUACAAGCCCAACUGUAAUUCAGUCACAUCUCAAAUAAUCUUAGAAUCUCAUCAAACUAAAUUAAUAAAAUUAUAUAAUUUUGGACAUCAUGUACCUUAAAAUUGAGCAAAUCCCAAAUCAAUAACACAACAUUCUAUGUCCAAAUAAUAUAAUUUAUUCCGCUAUUUCAAUUAAAUAUACAAUUAAUCCUCAUAGCAGAAAAAAAAAAUUCUUGAAAUAAAAAUAAUUCCUCAAACCAAAGAAUCAAUCCUCAACAUAUCAAUUUAAUCCUCAGAAUAACCAAUCAUUCUUCUUUAUAAAGUGGACUAUCCCGGGGUCGCAGCUCUUCAAAAAUCAACAAUAAAAUCUCAAUUCAACUCUCUAUUUUCUGGUAGUCUUCAAAAUUCCAUAACUUAACAUCUUCACAUAAAACCUUUUUCCAUUUUAACCUCUGACAUAGUGUCUUGCUAUCCUUAAAAUUUCAGCUUAAACCGGUUAGAAUAGCUAGGUCAAAUACUCGCUCAAAGAUGGUACUCAAAAUUAUCUCAACAAGGCAAAACAGGAUUUUUAUCAUUGUCACAGCCACACUCCAAAAUUCACUAUAAAUCGUAGGUUAACUAUUUUGACAUGAAACCACCUCUGGGAUCUUCUAUACUCAGUACACUAUCAUCCCUCAAAAUUUCAAUUUGAAUUAAAGUGUUUAGCUAGGUGAAACAUUGCUCCAAAGUUCAGUGUUCAGUAAAUUCGUAGGUUAUUAACAACCCAUACUAAAACUGCCAUAACUCAUAGCUCGUUACUCCGAUUCACUCAAAAUCAGCGCCCAAGUAAACUAGAAAUCAUACACUACAACUUUCAGUAAGUAGUCGAUCAUCCAAUCACAAUAAAACUGCUCCGAAACACUGCUCCAAAAACAGGACAGCGACUGAAUUUAAAAGUUUAUACCUUUGAUUGUUAAUGUUGCAACCUCUGUUUACAAACCAACUCUCGCCAUACUCCUCUGUACCAUUUGUAAUCUUCAUCAGCCUAUAACCUCCUGCAACACUCCAUCUUCCAAGUCUGUCUCCAAUUAAAACCUCGUCACCCCGGCACCUCCAUGGGCCACCCUCCUUCAGCACUGCCAUAGCUGUGAUCAUCUCCCUAAUGUCGCCCCAAUUAUACACAGUCACACAAGAUGAACACACACACAACUGAAACCUCUCCCUCUCCUCAUCUGAACAGACCCAUAUGCACAAAUAUCCGCGACAACAGCCACCGUCUGAAAACAACCUCGCCGCCUCCGACUACACCUUCCAACCAUCAUCUUAUCUACUGGCGGCAUCCCGCCGCCUCUCCAACCACCAGUAGCCAAACUCCACCUCCCCUGUAUUGGAAUUAUCACAGCCACCCAAAACCAAUCGCCUCCAUCUCCACUGUCUAAUCAACACCAUCAACGGCCCCUUUAUCCUUGUUUUCAAACCCCCAAUCAACCACUACACCUCCACAUACAAGCAACCCCACAUACUCUGUUUAUCUCACAGGCAUAGCUGCCACUUUGAUUCAACAGACUCACCACAAAACUCUCAACCACCGCCAAACUUCCACCUUUUACGCGACGCCACCGCGUCCUACCCUCUCUGUGCUGACGACGCAGCCUCGGUGAACGCCCAACCAUCAUUCACAACCCCGCUCCACCAUUGAUUCAAGACAAAAUCUCCCAACCCCGGCAAAUACACAAAAAUUAUACACAGAGAUAUACAUAUAUAUACACAACACCCUCACCCGAUUGAAGCUUGAAAUCAGAUGGAAAGGAGAUAACAAAUCAAAACCCUAAUUUUGCUAUGCUUUUGCUCGCACAAAACCACCGCCUUUUGUUUCUGAGUACAAGUCUCUGUAUGUUUUUCUGUUUUUAGUCCUUAUCCGGUUAUAUCGUGAAUCACAGCUACGUUUCAGCCACGUCCCAGCUACGUCUCG